AGCUAAAUGGUAGUAUUUUUAGUGAAUUCUGCUCAAUGGUUAUCUAAAUAGCCGCAGUACCCUGACUGUGCAAAGGUAGCAUAAUCAGUUGGCUUAUAAUUGAAGUCUGGAAUGAAAGAAUAUUCGGGUAAUAUCUAUCUUAUGGUAUUUAAUUGAAAUUGGUUACCAAGUGCAAAUACUUGUUUAUUUAAAUUAGACGAGAAGACCCUAGAAACUUUUUAAUUUUGUUGGGGCGACAGAACUACAUUUAACUAGUUUUUCAAGAACUUGAAGUAAAGCAGAUAGAUAAAGUUACUCUAGGGAUAACAGCAUAAUUUAUAAUAAGUUUGUGACCUCGAUGUUGGACUAGGUACAGUUUUUUUUAGACGAAAAGGCUGGAUGCUCUGUUCGAGCAGUAUAAACCUACAU
rnacentral:rRNA from 1 species